rnacentral:rRNA from 1 species
ACGGGAGGCAGCAGUGGGGAAUAUUGCACAAUGGGCGAAAGCCUGAUGCAGCAACGCCGCGUGAGCGAUGAAGGCCUUCGGGUCGUAAAGCUCUGUCCUCAAGGAAGAUAAUGACGGUACUUGAGGAGGAAGCUCCGGCUAACUACGUGCCAGCAGCCGCGGUAAUACGUAGGGAGCAAGCGUUAUCCGGAAUUACUGGGUGUAAAGGGAGUGUAGGCGGGACUGUAAGUCAGAUGUGAAAUAUGCCGGCUCAACUGGCAGACUGCAUUUGAAACUGCGGUUCUUGAGUGAAGUAGAGGUAAGCGGAAUUCCUAGUGUAGCGGUGAAAUGCGUAGAUAUUAGGAGGAACAUCAGUGGCGAAGGCGGCUUACUGGGCUUUAACUGACGCUGAGGCUCGAAAGCGUGGGGAGCAAACAGGAUUAGAUACCCUGGUA